rnacentral:rRNA from 1 species
CUUUGCUGCUUCGCUGACGAGUGGCGGACGGGUGAGUAAUGUCUGGGAAACUGCCUGAUGGAGGGGGAUAACUACUGGAAACGGUGGCUAAUACCGCAUAACGUCGCAAGACCAAAGAGGGGGACCUUCGGGCCUCUUGCCAUCAGAUGUGCCCAGAUGGGAUUAGCUUGUUGGUGAGGUAACGGCUCACCAAGGCGACGAUCCCUAGCUGGUCUGAGAGGAUGACCAGCCACACUGGAACUGAGACACGGUCCAGACUCCUACGGGAGGCAGCAGUGGGGAAUAUUGCACAAUGGGCGCAAGCCUGAUGCAGCCAUGCCGCGUGUAUGAAGAAGGCCUUCGGGUUGUAAAGUACUUUCAGCGGGGAGGAAGGUGUUGUGGUUAAUAACCGCAGCAAUUGACGUUACCCGCAGAAGAAGCACCGGCUAACUCCGUGCCAGCAGCCGCGGUAAUACGGAGGGUGCAAGCGUUAA